AGAGUUUGAUCAUGGCUCAGAACGAACGCUGGCGGCAGGCCUAACACAUGCAAGUCGAGCGCCCAGCAAUGGGAGCGGCGGACGGGUGAGUAACGCGUGGGAAUUUUUCCUGGAGUACGGAACAACCGAGGGAAACUUCGGCUAAUACCGUAUGAUAUCGAGAGAUCAAAGAUUUAUCGCUCUGGGGUGAGCCCGCGUCAGAUUAGGUAGUUGGUGGGGUAACGGCCUACCAAGCCUGCGAUCUGUAGCUGGUCUGAGAGGACGAUCAGCCACACUGGGACUGAGACACGGCCCAGACUCCUACGGGAGGCAGCAGUGGGGAAUCUUGCGCAAUGGGCGAAAGCCUGACGCAGCCAUGCCGCGUGAGUGAAGAAGGUCUUAGGAUUGUAAAGCUCUUUCGCUCGUGACGAUGAUGACGGUAACGAGAGAAGAAGCCCCCGGCUAACUUCGUGCCAGCAGCCGCGGUA
rnacentral:rRNA from 1 species